rnacentral:rRNA from 1 species
AGUUAAAAAGCUCGUAGUUGGAUUUCUGGCAGGAGCGGCGGGUCGCGCACUCUGUGCGUGAACUUGGUUGUCUCUGGCCAUCCUUGGGGAGAUCCUGUUUGGCAUUAAGUUGUCGGGCAGGGGAUACCCAUCGUUUACUGUGAAAAAAUUAGAGUGUUUAAAGCAGGCUUAUGCCGUUGAAUAUAUUAGCAUGGAAUAAUAAGAUAGGACUUUGGAACUAUUUUGUUGGUUUGCGUUACAAAGUAAUGAUUAAYAGGGACAGUUGGGGGUAUUCGUAUUUCGUUGUCAGAGGUGAAAUUCUUGGAUUUCCGAAAGACGAACUACUGCGAAAGCAUUUACC